rnacentral:tRNA from 1 species
CAGAAAAUAGUUUAUAAAAAUAUUAAUUUUGGGAAUUAAAGACAAAGAGAGUCUCUUUUUUUCUGA